rnacentral:rRNA from 1 species
UACGUAGGGGGCAAGCGUUGUCCGGAUUUAUUGGGCGUAAAGAGCGUGUAGGCGGCUAGGUAGGUCCGUUGUGAAAACUCGAGGCUCAACCUCGAGACGUCGAUGGAAACCAUCUAGCUAGAGUCCGGAAGAGGAGAGUGGAAUUCCUGGUGUAGCGGUGAAAUGCGCAGAUAUCAGGAAGAACACCAAUGGCGAAAGCAGCUCUCUGGGACGGUACUGACGCUGAGACGCGAAAGCGUGGGGAGCGAACAGG